GUUACAAAGAGAGGAACACGAUAACUCUAGUGGAGGAGUGCCGACUGCGGCUUCAAGUGAAUUUUAAUCAUUUGGAAGCUUUAUGGAAGGGCAAGACCUUGGCAAGUUAGCUUGUGUUUGGAUUCUUCAAUUAUGGUCGAGUGGAAGAAUCGUCCUAUUGAAGAGGCCACUUGGGAGACCGAAGCAGACAUGCGUAGCAAGUAUCCACAUCUUUUUGAUGAUUCAG